CACGUAGUUAGCCGGGGCUUCUUAGUCAGGUACCGUCCUCUUUCUUCCCUGCUGAUAGAAGUUUACAUACCGAGAUACUUCUUCCUUCACGCGGCGUCGCUGCAUCAGGGUUCCCCCCGAUUGUGCAAUAUUCCCCACUGCUGCCUCCCGCAGGAGUCUGGGCCGUGUCUCAGUCCCAGUGUGGCCGUCCGCCCUCUCAGGCCGGCUACUGAUCGUGGGCUUGGUGGGCCGUUACCCCGGCCAACUACCUAAUCAGACGCGGACCCAUCGUGUACCGUACUAGAUAAGAUCUAGGCUUUCCGCCCUGUGCCAUGCGGCACUGUGCGCAUAUGCGGUAUUAGCAGCCGUUUCCGGCUGUUAUCCCCCGUGUACACGGCAGGUUGUCCACGCGUUACUCACCCGUCCGCCACUCAGCCACCCGGUCUUUGUACCCGAAAUCUCCGUCCGGGCGCUCCGUUCGACUUGCAUGUGUUAGGUCGACGCCGCCGAGCGUUCGUAUCCUCGUAGCCACGGAGUCUAAAAC
rnacentral:rRNA from 1 species